rnacentral:rRNA from 1 species
GUAGGGGGCAAGCGUUGUCCGGAAUUAUUGGGCGUAAAGCGCGCGCAGGCGGCUAUUUAAGUCUGGUGUUUAAACCUUGGGCUCAACCUGAGGUCGCACUGGAAACUGGGUGGCUUGAGUACAGAAGAGGAAAGUGGAAUUCCACGUGUAGCGGUGAAAUGCGUAGAGAUGUGGAGGAACACCAGUGGCGAAGGCGACUUUCUGGGCUGUAACUGACGCUGAGGCGCGAAAGCGUGGGGAGCAAACAGGAUUAGAUACCCUGGUAGUCCACGCCGUAAACGAUGAGUGCUAGGUGUUAGGGGUUUCGAUACCCCUUGGUGCCGAAGUUAACACAGUAAGCACUCCGCCUGGGGAGUACGGUCGCAAGACUG